rnacentral:rRNA from 1 species
GGCGAACGCUGGCGGCGUGCCUAAUACAUGCAAGUUGAGCGCUGAAGGUUGGUACUUGUACCAACUGGAUGAGCAGCGAACGGGUGAGUAACGCGUGGGGAAUCUGCCUUUGAGCGGGGGACAACAUUUGGAAACGAAUGCUAAUACCGCAUAAAAACUUUAAACACAAGUUUUAAGUUUGAAAGAUGCAAUUGCAUCACUCAAAGAUGAUCCCGCGUUGUAUUAGCUAGUUGGUGAGGUAAAGGCUCACCAAGGCGAUGAUACGUAGCCGACCUGAGAGGGUGAUCGGCCACAUUGGGACUGAGACACGGCCCAAACUCCUACGGGAGGCAGCAGUAGGGAAUCUUCGGCAAUGGACGAAAGUCUGACCGAGCAACGCCGCGUGAGUGAAGAAGGUUUUCGGAUCGUAAAACUCUGUUGGUAGAGAAGAACGUUGGUGAGAGUGGAAAGCUCAUCAAGUGACGGUAACUACCCAGAAAGGGACGGCUAACUACGUG